UGGUUUCUUCAGGCGGGCCAUCUGGCCGGCCUGAAAAAGGCGACAUCUUCAGCUCGGUCUACAACCUGGAGUUCGGUGUCCAGGCCAGAACUGAGGCCUGAGGAGGAAAAAUCUUUCGCAUUUGGUUCGUGCCUUAGCCUAGGAAGUGCCUAUGCAAACAGCAUGGCUGACAAACAAAGCCACCUCGAAAACAUCUUUGGUGGUAUAAUGCAGAAUGACUUCCAGCUUGGUGACAUUUACUUCACCCUCCUGCCAGAGGGAGAACCAAAGGGCAAAACGCUGUACCGCUUCAACCUGACGCACGGCAAGCUCCUCAAUAUUGGUGAUCUACUUACGCCGAAAUCCACUACCUGCAGAUUGGACCAUACAAAAAUUAAGGUCUCCGGAGCAUGCCAUUUUGACAUCAAGGAUGCAGAAGUUCAGUACUACUGGCCAGAUGUCCUACGGAGCAAAAGUAGUGGAGACAUUCACUCUCUACGCUUUCAUAACUGAGUUCCCUUUCGGUGAUCACAUUAACCCUGCUUCGCUGACGAUGAUAGUUCUCGUCAGUCCUAGUAAUUCCGCAGAUAAACGGCAGUGCCUUAUUACGGAGUUCAUGCUCAGUACGGUGACUUUCCCUCCAUUCUGGGGCUUCAACUAUAGUCCGUUUAAGAACAACAAGACUCUCGCAGUAGCAGUAUGGGACGAGUUUCAAGUCAAAAUGUAUACUCAUGUAAGACUUACAGUCAAGAACGCCAUAAAAGAUACUUGUAGCAAGGAAUUGCAUAACAAAUCGAUACGUAUAUAGACUGCUUCCUUAACGCCUUUGAAAUCGAACGAAUAAACAUAAUGGGCUUGAAUGACCAAAGGCUCUUCUAAACUGUUUUAUCUGCUAGGUCUCCAGUUCGCGAAUAACAGUAGGUUUAAGUGAAGUAAAUAUUGAAGUUAUCCCCAAACACCAUUUUUGCGCGUGCGAAAGUGCGUAUUGCGCGUGUGAACAAGGGCACAUGCACAAGUGCGUAGUGACAUAAAUCACAGAAGCUGUCCACUAGUGUUUGACAUUUGACGUAAUGUUAAAUUUUCCUGCCGUAUUUGCGCCAAGGGAUCAAAGGGAUAGCCCAGAAGUUUAUUUGAGUAUCCACAGAUGUAAAUUUAAGACAUAAAAAACUAUUUGACGCAAAGUAGCUAGUUCAGUAAGAAAAAGUACAGAGGAAGUCACAGCCACUCCACUCUGUGAAUGUGGGUUACUAGCUGAGCUGUUCUUGGGCAGUACAGAUUACACGUGGCCUCCCCAUACCAGCACGCGCAACAUAC